rnacentral:rRNA from 1 species
UACGUAGGGUGCGAGCGUUGCCCGGAUUUAUUGGGCGUAAAGGGCGCGCAGGCGGCUCGGCACGUCCGUUGUGAAAUCGCCCGGCUCAACUGGGCGGGGUCAGCGGAUACGGUCGAGCUUGAGCAAGCUAGGGGGCAAGUGGAAUUCCCGGUGUAGUGGUGGAAUGCGUAGAUAUCGGGAGGAACACCAGUGGCGAAGGCGGUUGCCUGGAGCUUUGCUGACGCUGAGGCGCGAAAGCGUGGGGAGCGAUCCGG